CCUGGCAAACUUCCUGGGGAAGGCUUUGCCAACCUGCUGCCCUCCAGAUGUUUUGGACUGGAACUCCCAUCAGCCCAAGCAAGCACAGUUUAGGAAAGCCUGUUCUAGGAGAUGUGGCUGGCCUCUAGGGACAAAUUGCUGAGGACUGCCAGUACAGGGAGCAGCAAAGUCAACCUCGUCUGCGAGAAGUACUAAAAGCAAGACAUAUUUAUUAUGCUUAACUGCUUAAAUUAUAAAAAGGCCACGCUCACAGCUCAAUGGGAAUUUGUGUGUGUUAUGUUUGCAAGGCAACACUGAGACUAAGGAGGAGAAGGCUGCGAGCCAGUGCCACCUCCUGAAAUGAUUGUGCAUUGCUCAAUUCACCAUCUGGAACUUGUUAGCAGUUCUAUAAGGAAGACUUUCUUUCUACAUUCAGUCCUCCUCAUGGGGCUGCAUAGACUGCUAGUAUUCCUGCAAGCUGAUUUAGUCAUCUGAGAGUGUUUGAAAGCAGAAGCAAUGGCUCCGAUUUCUGGAAAGCCACGAUAAGCGAAUGUGGGCUUUGGCACGGAAUUAAAUGCUAAGCAAACAUUGGAAGCAAUCCACUAAGCACAGAAGCUGCCCAUCUGUAUUCAUUUCCAUGGGGGUCUAUGCAGGGCAAUGAUGUCUCAGCACCAGCGGUGCAUCAAUGGCCUGGACUCGUUAAGAGCGAUGUUGCUUAAUGGCAGCGGUGACAGAAACUGCCUUCCAGAUGACUUGAGUCUUUGUAGCCAACACCCCCAUUCCCAAGAACACCUCAGAACAACAUCCAGAGCAUCCUCGGAAGAACAAAAUGGCAGCCACCGGGAGUGUCCAGUGUCAGAAGUUAAGUAAAAAAAAAAAAAGGAAGUUGAAGACAGUCCUGACACCACAGCAGAACCACAAAUGGAAGAAAUUGGUUCCCAAACAGACUCCUCUGCAUUCAUUUCCCAACAUAUGGAAAUUGGGCUGAAAGGGUCCUGUUCUGCUCAGUUUCCCACUCGUUCUGAAACAAAUGCACACCCUUCAUUUGCAGUAUGCUAUUCUAUUUCUUGUAACCACUGUAAGGCUCUCUUCACCGUGGAGCAUGGGAGCCCUUUCAGCUCUGCACCACAGUGGUAUGUGGGCAGAAAGUGCUGAUUGCGCUGCUCUUUCCAUGCCAUGGGCCACCCCUGCAAGGUUCAUGGUGUUCACGUAAAAACCUCAUUCUCAUUCCUAAUAUAUGUAGUUAAAACAGCCUUCCUCUCCAAAGGCUUAUAAAAAAUUAAAAAGGAUCGAUAAAGUAUACUUUGGAAGAAAAAUGGUUUGUCUAGGCAAUGUAAUUCUCAUUAUCCAAAUCUUCUGAAAUGAAACCUCCUGGGGCAAAAGGCUGAGCAAUUUGGGGCAUAUGCAGCUUAUUUUCAGGUAUAUAAGCCUUUUGGCAGUCACAUUUAAGUGGUGUUUGUUUUGGUUCGGUUUGUUCUGCUUCCACAUUCAUUCGCAGGGUUUACGAGAAAAACUUCGUGUUUCUGUGGUGAAGCACAGAAAUAGAUUCAUUUGCUUUGUGCUCUCCUUUCUCACAGGCAUUUGGCAGAGCGGUUCACAUGGCUAAGGAGGGGCAUGUUUCUGAAUGAGAGGUCUAGCCCGUGGCAGCAACAGAGCACUGCUGGAUACUAACCAAGCUGAACUGAACACAUCUCAGAAAACCCCUUUUGCAAGAAGGUCUGAACUAGAGCCUGCAUGUGGGGACAUUGGAGCAGGGCUUUUAUAUGUGCUCUGAUCCACUUCAAGCCCAUAUACAGUCACUCAAACAGGGUUCUGGUUCACACAGAAUGGAGGCUGUGCCAAUGGACAUUCAUUUCACUGAGAAGUGCCACAGUAUGUAAUCUAUUUUGCAUGCAAAAAAACCCCAAAACCCCAUACACACCACCCAUGGGCACCUCAUAAUGAGAGAAGAGAAGCUGAAACCCAGCAAAAUCUUAAAGGGAUUCCAAAGAGUCCUGGGAAUGAGGCAGAAAAAGGGACGCCUUUUCUGCAGGGAAAGACAACUUCCAAGAAAUUAGAGGUCAGGUUUUGGCAAAGCGCUAGUGUAAUUAAACAAGCAGUGCAGUAAAUCACAGGCUACAUAAUGUCUUUUAAAUUGGUUUCUAAUAACACAUGGCCCUUGUGAAAAGACACUUAGUGCUGGUUAUUAUUGCUAUUGCUAAUAUUAUUAAUAUUCAUAGGAUGGCAUUCAAUUAAGUUUUACUCAGAGUAUACUCACUGAAGUUAAUGAAGGUGACUAAGAUAGGCCCAUUAAUGUCAAUAUGUCUACUCUGGGUAAAACUUAGUUGAAUGCCACCCAUAACACCACCACUGUUGUUGUAAACCAUCUAUGCGUGACUCUCCUUUAACUCGAGCAGUAGCCACUGUUGACAGGAAUGGGAGGGUUCCAUCUUAUCUUUUGCUUCAGACAGCCAAAUGUUUUGGAACAACCCUGCCCUCCCAAAAAAUCUCACCCUCCCCUCCCCUAGCAUGCAGACUGUGUUGCUUGCAAACAUCUUGUCAAAAUACUUCUCAGUCAUGGCCAGAGUAUUUAAGAGAUGCUCUCCCUCCAUCCUUGCAACAACUACAAAAUCCUAAAGAGCAAUUUGUUGUUGCCUUUUGUUUCUGUACAGCCUUUCUCCAUGAUUUUGUUACAUACCU